CUCCUUUAUUAUAUUUGGGAUAAUUUCCCACCCCACAGCUAAUACUUGCCACAUCACUCAAGAAACUUGCUAGAAACAACGGACAAUUUCAGCCGAAGGGCUCAACUCUGGCUAAUAUUUAUCAAAUAUACCAAUGUAGGGCCAAAUACUACUGAAAAGUAACGAGCUUACCUCGGUUGAUGUAAAUUGGGCUUAUUCUGAAGCCUUUACUUCACUGAAGGUAGAAGGACAGAAUAAGGAGAGUAGGGGCGAGUGCAUGGGCUUGAGACGUCUUUUUGUUUUUGCCGUUAGUUUUUCAGCUGGUUUUAGAGGUUUUUUCAGGUGGUGUUAGUGGGUAGUUUACGGUGUCUUCAAGACUAUUUUGAGGUCAUUUUGGGGUGGAGAAGAGGGACUUGUUUGAGGGCAGCGUUGUUCUGUUGGAUGUUCUUUUCACUUGGAUCAAUUUUUAUCAGGUCUUUCUAGUUAAUUAGUUGAUCAAAGUGAUGGAUCUAAGUGAUAAAGAUUCGGGAUCUAAGGAUAUGAUGAGCCAAACAGAAAGAGAAAACAGCCAAAGCCAACUCAAGACAUGUGCUGACUGUGGUACCACCAAAAUGUCCACCUAUAAUUAAGUCAUUAUGUAAUGCGUAAGGGAUCAGGAGCAGGAAGAAGAGAAGAGCACUUCUCGGAUUGAACAAAGAUGUAAUUAAUUAUAGGUGGAAAAUAGAAAUAAGGUGGACCACGUUUGUAUACUGUCAAAAUCGGGCUUGCCUAAUUUUGUACGACUAACCAAAGUCGGGACGGAAGAUUAAGGCCCGACCCAGUUAUAUCGGAACGAGUUACGGAGAUGGAUUGAUAAGCUCGUGGAUCAAUGGCCGAUCAAGAUCAAGAACAACCAUGAUCGAGAACAAAGUAAGAAAGAGAUCGAGCAAGAUGAAAGGAAGCCUGCUACAAUGGAUAAAAUAAAGCCGAGAUAUCCGUGAUCGGGCGAGGAUCGUGACAGAAAUCUCGGCAGAUAUUGAGUCAGGAUUGGAAGUUUAGCCUAUCAUGAGAUUUACUUAUGUAAUUAGAAUUGUACCAUAAAUAUGAUUUCUCUACUAUAUAAAGGGGGUCCUAAUCAUUUUGUAAAGAGAUACAUUCACGCAUAUCAAAGUAGUAUUGUCACACCCCAAGUUUUCAUACAUGAGAGUACAUCGUAAGUCAUUGAUGUAAGCUCGGAAAUGAGA